AGAGAGAGGGCACAGACACAGCAACUCACUGAGCCAAGAGAGACAGGGCACUCAGCAACUCACUGAGCCAAGAGAGACAGGGCACUCAGCAACUCACUGAGCCAAGAGACCUCACCAUGCCAGGGCGAGACAGGGCAUACUGCAACUCACUGAGCCAAGAGAGGCAGGGCACACUGCAACUCACUGAGCUAAGGGAGCUCACAAUGCCAGGAAGAGACAAGAGAAACAGGGCAGCUCACCAUGCUAAUGAAAGAAAGGGCAUGCUCUAACUCACUGAGUCAAGGGAGCUCACAAUGCCAGGGAGAGUCAGGUCACAUUAAAACUUACUGAGACAAGAGAGCUCAUCAUGCCUGGGAGACACAGGACACACUGCAACUCACUGAGCCAAGAGAGCUCACAGUGCCAGGGAGAGAUAGGAGAGACAAGGCAGCUUACCAUGCCA